GGCGUCCUCCAAGGCGUGAAAGGCGUACGCGCAGAAAAAAUGCGAAGUGACGUCGUUUUGAAACAGAAUGGGUUUAAAGGCUUCUAGGUCGCGACUGCUACCCCAAAUUCGAUUUCAGCCCUCUGCCCCUCUCUGUUCCAAAAGCAGUCAAUUUGAGCUUGAUUGGAGGUCGAUUCGCAACAGGCUAUUUGAAGGUAUUGGAGUUGGAUACUUGGAUUCGCAACAUGCCAUUUGAACUUCUGAAGAUUUUGUGAUCCCAUUGGAAAAUGAGGGAGAAGGGGUUUGAUUAUACUGUGGUGUUAAUGUCAGAGAUUAGUAUGCUGCGGAUGGAGGGGAGUGGAACUCCUCUUAUGUCAACAAGCUGACACGCCCUGUUCGCAGGGAUUCCGCAUUGGCAACUGCCAACAUUGAAUAGGUUAGCUUUCCUUCUUGACUUUUUGUACUAGAUAGUUAGUCUUGUUUUCAAUCUCCAUUGGUCAAUUCCCUGUUACAGAUUUACAUGCAUCUUGUUUGAAGUUGCAGAAGUUUACUGCACUGUAAUGUGUUUAUUGUUUUACAUAGACUCUAAUGUGUA